GGAGGAAAAGAAACUAACAAGGAUUCCCCUAGUAACGGCGAGUGAAGCGGGAAGAGCUCAAAUUUAAAAUCUGGCAGUCUACGAUUGUCCGAAUUGUAAUCUCGAGAAGUGUUUUCCGCGUUGGCCUGUGUACAAGUCCCUUGGAACAGGGCGUCAUAGAGGGUGAGAAUCCCGUCCUUGACACAGAUCCCCAAUGCUUUGUGAUACACUCUCAAUGAGUCGAGUUGUUUGGGAAUGCAGCUCAAAAUGGGUGGUAAAUUCCAUCUAAAGCUAAAUACUGGCGAGAGACCGAUAGCGAACAAGUACCGUGAGGGAAAGAUGAAAAGCACUUUGGAAAGAGAGUCAAACAGUACGUGAAAUUGUUGAAAGGGAAACGAUUGAAGUCAGUCGUGCCUGCCUAGAUUCAGCCUUCUGGUGUAUUUCUAGGUUUGGCAGGUCAGCAUCAGUUUGGGAGAGUUAACAAGGGAGUUAGGAAUGUAGCAACCUCGGUUGUGUUAUAGCCUAGCUUCGCAUUGACUUUGCUGGACUGAGGAACGCAGUGCGCCCUUACGGGUGGGUCUUCGGACACCUUCGCACUUAGGAUGCUGGCAUAAUGGCUUUAAACGACCCGUCUU
rnacentral:rRNA from 1 species